UGGGGAAUAUUGCACAAUGGGCGCAAGCCUGAUGCAGCCAUGCCGCGUGUAUGAAGAAGGCCUUCGGGUUGUAAAGUACUUUCAGUCGGGAGGAAGGUGGUAAGGUUAAUAACCUUAUCAAUUGACGUUACCGACAGAAGAAGCACCGGCUAACUCCGUGCCAGCAGCCGCGGUAAUACGGAGGGUGCAAGCGUUAAUCGGAAUUACUGGGCGUAAAGCGCACGCAGGCGGUUGAUUGAGUCAGAUGUGAAAUCCUCGGGCUCAACCUGGGAACUGCAUCUGAUACUGGCAAGCUUGAGUCUCGUAGAGGGGGGUAGAAUUCCAGGUGUAGCGGUGAAAUGCGUAGAGAUCUGGAGGAAUACCGGUGGCGAAGGCGGCCCCCUGGACGAAGACUGACGCUCAGGUGCGAAAGCGUGGGGAGCAAACAGG
rnacentral:rRNA from 1 species